GGAGGAGAGGGUGAAGGAGGAGGAGAAGGUCACCAAACCCUGAUACAUCCACCUAAUCACAUAAGAGAAUUUGAUUCAUGCAAUCAACAGAAGCAAUUCCAGAGGCACUAUAACAAUAAUCAUCAUCAUUAUAACCAACAUCCCCCAUACCACCAUCACUAUAAUAAUCAACAGGCAUAUCGGCGGAAUGAAUAUAACACAUAUCAAAAU